UACGGAGGGUGCGAGCGUUGUCCGGAAUCACUGGGCGUAAAGGGUGCGUAGGCGGGUCUUUAAGUCAGGGGUGAAAUCCUGGAGCUCAACUCCAGAACUGCCUUCGAUACUGGGAAACUUGAGUCCGGGAGAGGUGAGUGGAACUGCGAGUGUAGAGGUGAAAUUCGUAGAUAUUCGCAAGAACACCAGUGGCGAAGGCGGCCUCACUGGCCCGGUACUGACGCUGAGGUGCGGAAAGCGUGGGGAGCAAACAGGG
rnacentral:rRNA from 1 species